GAUGAACGCUGGCGGCGUGCCUAAUACAUGCAAGUCGAGCGAACAGAUAAGGAGCUUGCUCCUUUGACGUUAGCGGCGGACGGGUGAGUAACACGUGGGUAACCUACCUAUAAGACUGGGAUAACUUCGGGAAACCGGAGCUAAUACCGGAUAAUAUUUCGAACCGCAUGGUUCGAUAGUGAAAGAUGGUUUUGCUAUCACUUAUAGAUGGACCCGCGCCGUAUUAGCUAGUUGGUAAGGUAACGGCUUACCAAGGCGACGAUACGUAGCCGACCUGAGAGGGUGAUCGGCCACACUGGAACUGAGACACGGUCCAGACUCCUACGGGAGGCAGCAGUAGGGAAUCUUCCGCAACGGGCGAAAGCCUGACGGAGCAACGCCGCGUGAGUGAUGAAGGUCUUCGGAUCGUAAAACUCUGUUAUUAGGGAAGAACAUACGUGUAAGUAACUGUGCACGUCUUGACGGUACCUAAUCAGAAAGCCACGGCUAACUACGUGCCAGCAGCCGCGGUAAUACGUAGGUGGCAAGCGUUAUCCGGAAUUAUUGGACGUAAAGCGCGCGUAGGCGGUUUUUUAAGUCUGAUGUGAAAGCCCACGGCUCAACCGUGGAGGGUCAUUGGAAACUGGAAAACUUGAGUGCAGAAGAGGAAAGUGGAAUUCCAUGUGUAGCGGUGAAAUGCGCAGAGAUAUGGAGGAACACCAGUGGCGAAGGCGACUUUCUGGUCUGUAACUGACGCUGAUGUGCGAAAGCGUGGGGAUCAAACAGGAUUAGAUACCCUGGUAGUCCACGCCGUAAACGAUGAGUGCUAAGUGUUAGGGGGUUUCCGCCCCUUAGUGCUGCAGCUAACGCAUUAAGCACUCCGCCUGGGGAGUACGACCGCAAGGUUGAAACUCAAAGGAAUUGACGGGGACCCGCACAAGCGGUGGAGCAUGUGGUUUAAUUCGAAGCAACGCGAAGAACCUUACCAAAUCUUGACAUCCUUUGACAACUCUAGAGAUAGAGCUUUCCCCUUCGGGGGACAAAGUGACAGGUGGUGCAUGGUUGUCGUCAGCUCGUGUCGUGAGAUGUUGGGUUAAGUCCCGCAACGAGCGCAACCCUUAAGCUUAGUUGCCAUCAUUAAGUUGGGCACUCUAAGUUGACUGCCGGUGACAAACCGGAGGAAGGUGGGGAUGACGUCAAAUCAUCAUGCCCCUUAUGAUUUGGGCUACACACGUGCUACAAUGGACAAUACAAAGGGUAGCGAAACCGCGAGGUCAAGCAAAUCCCAUAAAGUUGUUCUCAGUUCGGAUUGUAGUCUGCAACUCGACUACAUGAAGCUGGAAUCGCUAGUAAUCGUAGAUCAGCAUGCUACGGUGAAUACGUUCCCGGGUCU
rnacentral:rRNA from 1 species